GCGGUCGUGGCGAAACUGGCAGACGCGCUACUUUGAGGGGGUAGUGCCGAAAGGCGUGUGGGUUCAAAUCCCAUCGACCGCACCA
rnacentral:tRNA from 1 species